AGUCUGGAGGCUGGGAAAUCCAAGAUCAAGGUGCCAGCAAGUGAUGCCAAGGAAAUCCGAGGAGAUGCAGCUCAAUCUGUCACCUCUUCUCUCUUCGUUAAGGCAGCUCUGAUACAUGGAAGGGUGGGAUCUUGCUCUGCUGCCCAGAAUGACCUUGAACUCCUGGCCUCAAGCAAUCCUCCCGCCUUGGUCUCCCAAAGUGCUGGGAUCACAGCUCUACUUCCCGACUGCUAGAUCUGCUGACCAAAAGUAGCCCCAGGUCCUCCACCAGUUACCUGACUGAUGGCUCCACAAGUGGGAACUAUGCAGAGGAGAAGCUGAUGCCCUUGGUCAUGGAGCAGAACCUGAAUAGGAGUAGGAGAAGCUGGAAGAGGAAAUCCUGUGGCAGCUGGAGAAUCUGUGGGCCCAGAUGCAACCUGAUGCCAACCAGGAUGUUUGCUUUGCUGACAGCUCCAAGACCUCUAGGGAUGCUUAUUCAGACUUAAAAGUCUCAGAAUGCUGGAAGCUUCAGAUGCCCGGUUGUCCCACCACCCUCAAAUUCUGCUGAAAGGCAUCUGCUACAAACAUUAGCCAUUCACUGGAACUUAAAGACUUCUAGCUAAAUUUAAUUUAAAAUUUCAAAGUGUUUGUAACAACAAGAAUCACAACUGAGAAUAUUAAGCAGGAAGAAAAGCAAGAAUAAAUGGGUAUACCAAAAACACAACUUUCAAAGAAAGGGGAGAAGGAAGGAAGGAUGAACAUACUAAGAACAGGGACAGCAAAUCAAAAGCAAACAAAGUAAUGCUAAAAGACGGACGACUGAUUGAAUGAAAGCUGAAGAUACUAUUAUAAUUAUUGCUAUAGUGAAACAGGUUUAUCAAAUGGAAAAUGGUUUAAGUACAAUGCAUUCAUUGUGUGGAAUUCUAUGUACAGUCAUGCAUUGCUUUAUGAUGGGGAUAUGUUCUGAAAAAUGCAUUGUUAGGUGAAUCUGUCAUUGCGCAAAUAUAAUAGAGCAGGGGUCCCCAACAUCCAGGCCACAGAUUGGCACUGGUCCCUUUAGGAACCAGGCCACACAGCAGGAGGUGAGUGGCAGGCAAGGCAUUUCUGCCUGAGCUCCGCCUCCUGUCAGAUCAGCCACAGCAUUAGAGUCUCAUAGGAGUGUGAACUCUAUUGUGAACUGCACAUGCUAAGGAUCUAGGUUGCAUGCUCCUUAAGAGGAUCUAAUGCCUUAUGAUCUGAAUGCAGAUCAUGCCACUGCACUGCAGCCUAGGUGACACAGUGAGGCUCUAUCUCAAAACAAAAAAAGAAACAAACAAAAAAAAUAAACCCGUAAACCAGUAACAUAGUCAUUUAUUAUCAAGUAUUAUAUACUGUUAUAAUUGUAUGCGCUAUACUUUUAUACAACCGGCAGCACAGUAGGUUUACACUAGCAUCACCAUAAACAUUUGAGUAAUCAUUGAUGACGUUAUCACUAGGUGAGAGGAAUUUUUCAGCUCCAUGAUAUGCAUAGAAUCACUGUUGUAUAUGUGGUCUGUCACUGAUUAAAAUGUCAUUAUACGGCACAUGACUCUGGCUGUUAAAAAUGAGACAGAGGCUGGGCACGGUGGCUCACACUUGUAAUUCCAGCACUUUGAGGGGCUGAGUUGGGCAGACUGCUUGAGCCCAGGAGUUCCAGACCAACUGGGCAUGAUGGCACGUGCCUGUAAGUCCUACCUACUUGGGAGGCUGAGGAAAGAAGAUCGCGUGAGCCUGGGAGGUCGAGGUGGCAGUGAGCCAUAAUGAUGCUACUGCACUCCAGCCUGGUCAACAGAGUGAAACCCUGUCUCAGAAAAAAAAAAAAAAAAAAAAAAAA
ensembl:lncRNA